AAACAAUAUUUAAAAUCCUAGGGCUAAGGUCCUACCAGUGUCUCAACUAGUUGGUGAGUGGUGACAAUCACAAGGUCCAAAAUUUACUCCUACUGUUGUGAUAGAAAACGACAAGUAACAGGUGGAAGGUCCUGGAAAGUGAAAACUUAGGUGCCUGUUUAUAAACAGAUCAUAAGAUCAGCCCCACAAUAUCUAUUCUUCAUCUUUAUCCAUGGCUUCCUCAUCAUACAGGAAAUAUGAAACCCGAAAGCGAAAUCCAGACCCGAAAUCUGCGGUUCUUUUAGUGAUAGAUAUGCAGAACUACUUCUACUCCAUGGCCAAGCCUAUUCUCCCCGCUAUCAACACUACCAUCGACCUCUGCCGACAGGCUUCCGUGCCUGUGAUAUUCACGCGCCACCGUCACAAGUCACCGGAUGACUACGGCAUGCUCUACGAGUGGUGGAACGGAGACAUCAUUAAAGACGGCACCGUUGAGGCUGAACUCAUACCGGAGUUGGACCGAAGAGAAAGCGACUUGGUGGUGGAAAAACACACUUACAGUGCCUUCAUAGAUACAAACCUAGAGGAGAAACUGUUGGAGAUGGGGAAAAAGGAGGUAAUAGUGAGUGGAGUAAUGACCAACCUGUGUUGUGAGACAACAGCCAGAGAGGCAUUUGUUAGAGGAUUCAGAGUCUUCUUUUCGACAGAUGCUACUGCUACUUCCUCAGCAGAAUUGCAUGAUGCUACACUGAAGAACUUAGCAUAUGGUUUCACUUAUUUGGUUGACUGCAAAAGGAUUCAAUCUGCGUUUUCAAAUUCCUGAGCACUCAGGUAUCAAAUAGCUAUUAGAAAAUUUUGUGAAUUAGCACAGCGGCAAGAUUUCUGGGAAGUUGCGAAAAAAAGAAAAAAGAAAAAAAAGAGAUCGUGAAUAACUAUAGCCAUUGGUUUACUCUCUCUUUAAGACUUUACUUGUUUACCAUAGUUAUUGAGUUAUAGAUUAGUUGCUGACUAGUAAUGUUAUUGAUGAGAUCCUAAUGGCCAGAGGCGAAUUCAGAAUUUCUAGCGGAUGGGUGCACUGUUGUGAAGAGGUAAUAUCGUAACUAAAGAUACUAGCGGGAGAGGAACCGUGGAGAAGCACUUUAACGUGUAAAGAUUUUGGAAUAAGUAGAUGUAAGACAGAAUAAAUACAUGACAAGUUUAUCCCGUCCGUCCACAGGUGGCAAACAAGUUGUUUGGGCUAAAGUUGGGCGGAUCAAGUUGGACCGAGUAAAUAUAUAGGCUAAUGCCCAAUCAUGCCCAAAAUUCAUUUGGGUCAAGAUGAGCUAAACAAUAGGUCGUAACCCAAUCCGCCCAAUUUGACCCAAGUCUUCAUAAUAUUCUCAACUUUUAAAGAAGGAGAAAUUUCAUAACUACCUAUGAAAUUAUAAAUUA